rnacentral:rRNA from 1 species
GACGAACGCUGGCGGCGUGCCUAAUACAUGCAAGUCGAGCGAGCGGAACUAACAGAUUUACUUCGGUAAUGACGUUAGGAAAGCGAGCGGCGGAUGGGUGAGUAACACGUGGGGAACCUGCCCCAUAGUCUGGGAUACCACUUGGAAACAGGUGCUAAUACCGGAUAAGAAAGCAGAUCGCAUGAUCAGCUUUUAAAAGGCGGCGUAAGCUGUCGCUAUGGGAUGGCCCCGCGGUGCAUUAGCUAGUUGGUAAGGUAAAGGCUUACCAAGGCGAUGAUGCAUAGCCGAGUCGAGAGACUGAUCGGCCACAUUGGGACUGAGACACGGCCCAAACUCCUACGGGAGGCAGCAGUAGGGAAUCGUCCACAAUGGACGCAAGUCUGAUGGAGCAACGCCGCGUGAGUGAAGAAGGUUUUCGGAUCGUAAAGCUCUGUUGUUGGUGAAGAAGGAUAGAGGUAGUAACUGGCCUUUAUUUGACGGUAAUCAACCAGAAAGUCACGGCUAACUACGUG